rnacentral:ribozyme from 14 species
GAAGAAAAAAAAAGUUCAGAUAGGCGAUGUCAUCUACUACUAGUAAUAAUGAUUAUUAUUGCCUCCUCUACUUACCCGCAUCAUAAUAUGUUUUUUUUAUCUAUCUUCUUUUUUCCCUCCUCCAAUUUUUCUUCUUU